GUACUGAUGAAGGGUCCUAGACUAGGACUAAACAACUGUCCAGUAC
rfam:Trichobilharzia regenti genome assembly, scaffold: TRE_contig0001717